UACGUAGGGGGCAAGCGUUGUCCGGAAUCAUUGGGCGUAAAGCGCGUGUAGGCGGUUCGGUAAGUCUGCUGUGAAAGCCCCGGGCUCAACCUGGGAAUUGCAUUCGAGACUGAAUAGCUAGGGUACGGUAGAGGGAAGCGGAAUUUCCGGUGUAGCGGUGAAAUGCGUAGAUAUCGGAAGGAACAUCAGUGGCGAAAGCGCUUCCUGGACCAGUACCGACGUCAGGCACGAAAGCGUGGGGAGCAAACAGG
rnacentral:rRNA from 1 species